ensembl:ncRNA F35B12.14 ncRNA
UCAUCCGGUGUCCGUGAAAACGAGUCUCUUGGCGGAAAAGGCGGCGUACUCUCACAACAGAUCGAGAAACAUGAAAUGAGAAGGAGUAGGAGAAAAUGGAGUAAAAGGAGAAAAAAACUAAUCCUUCUUUGUUAUUUCGCUUUUC